CUUAAGACAACAUUUGGAAAUUGAUGCUCAUGUUGGUGGUGUUAAUGAUAUUGCCUUUGCUCAUCCUAAUAAGCAACUUUGUAUUGUCACAUGUGGUGAUGACAAGACAAUUAAGGUGUGGGAUGCUGUAACUGGACGCGGGCAAUAUAUAUUUGAAGGCCAUGAAACUC